rnacentral:rRNA from 1 species
UCAAAAACAUUUCUGGGGGGAAAAUGUUUUUAGUUUAACCUGCUCAAUGCUUAAGUAAAUAGCUGCAGUAUUUUGACUGUACAAAGGUAGCAUAAUCAUUAGUCUUUUGAUUGAAGGCUUGUAUGAAUGGUUGAACAGAAUAUUAACUUUUUUAACUAUAUGAUAUUUAAAUUUACAGUUUAUGUAAAAAUACAUAAUUAUUUGAAAGGGACGAUAAGACCCUAUAGAAUUUAAAAUUACUUUUGAUAAUUUUUAUUUUUUGUUGGGGUGACAGUAAAUAAACUUUUAUUAAAUUUUCACUGCUGAGUGGUUGAAUGAUCCUAAUGUUUUUAGAUAAAAAGAUAAAAUUACCUUAGGGAUAACAGCAUAAUUUUUUUUAAAAGAUCUUAUUAAUAAAGAAGAUUAUGACCUCGAUGUUGAAUUAAAAUAAAAUUUUGGUGUAGAAGCUUAAUUUUUUAGUCUGUUCGACUUUAAAUUUUACAUGAUCUGUUUU